ensembl:lncRNA
AUGAGGGUUGUAGAGCUGAAGUCUGAGCUGAAGCAACGUGGUCUGACAGUCUCCGGCUCCAAAAAUGAACUGGUUGAAAGACUGAGGAGCUACCAGGACCUGAAAAAGGGCUGCGGCAAUACCUCCUCACUGACAGCAGGGGGUACCACAGGGUCAGGGGCCGAACGAGGAGCUUCAACCACGGACAGAAGCCCACCAGAAGCACCACAUCAGACCCUGCACCAUCAGGCAUCUCUCAACCUUCGGUCAGCAGCCACUCAGCCGCUCGCACUCCUCAACUGUGACAUCUCACCUCAGGUCAGCUCCCUCUCCACCUCGCCGGGCGCUAGAAACCCUGAAGCCACCAGUGCUGCCAUUCUGGAGGACGUGGACCAUCAGCUGUGUGCAGCCAAUCAGCCCCGGAUUUAUACUAAAGAAGAGCUGAGGCCCUGUCACUUCUCGCUGAGGAAGAGGAAACAUUGCCAGGCCUCCUGGCUGUGCCCCUCCUCCUCCUCCUCCUCCUCCUCCUCCUCCUCCUCCUCCUCCUCCUCCACAGCUCCAGGAGUGAUUGAGGAUAAAGACAAGAUGCUGCAGGAGAAAGACCAGCAGAUCGAGAAGCUGACCAGAAAGCUGAUGCAGAAAGAGCAGCUGGUGGAAAUGCUCAGGCUGCAACUGGAGAUUAGGACACACGGAGGGGCGAGAGUGCACGUAAAAGUGAAACAGGAGCCUCCUGACAGUUGCAGCGGCCCACCUUCACUUAUCCAGCUGCCUUCACCUGCGUUUCCGCCAACAGCUGAGACGGUUGCCAUCAAUCAGGACGCGAUCAAGGAAGAGGAAGUUGUAUCCCGGACAUCUCCAGGAUUACUGCCUUGCGCACAGAUGGAGCAUACAUGUCAGGUCUCUCAGCAGCAAAUGAUUCAGCAAAGACUGCGACCGCAAGGGUGUGAGGCCCAGAAGGAGGAGUGGGGGCCUCAGCCCAGGGGCCCGAUGCUGGGAAAUCUGCAUAGCCAUUCCGCGCAGAGAAGGAAAGGUUCCGACACACUGGAGGUGAAGCAGGAAGUUCCCCGACUGGAUCGUGAUGUGACUGAACAACAGCAGAGGCCGGCACAUCUGGGGCAGCAGCAGCAGAGACUGGAUACAUCCCAGCAGACACCACAGGUGUAUCAAAUAUGUCUCUACCCACUGGAAGUUUUGAAAAACAAACCCACCCCAACCCUGGUUACCAGCGGCAACGACUCCUUGAUUGGACCGAGCGGUCGCCAUAGCACCGACAUCAUGCUGGAGGACGAUGCAACCGCUCAGAUCAUGCUGCAGAGGCUACAGUCCUCAGCCGGGCGCCAUGGCAACAACCUGGCUGAGCGGAGGCAGAAGGCUGCGGAGCAUGAAGGUGAUUCUGUCGAGGUCGUUUUGCAGAGCGGAGGUAAGGAGUGUGUUCACGGCCUGUUUGCUCGUCGUGCCUUGGAUGAUUAUGGAGCCAUAUUCUCAUCCUUAUUUUUGCAGAAUGGCCUACCUCCAAACCCGCAACAGACCCUCUAGAUUAUUUAAACCCAACCUCCUCACGCGCUGCCCCUCCCCCCUCGCCGCUCCAGCACGCCCCUUCACCUCUGACCCCCCCCUGCCUGUGCCUGACCUCAACGACAUCUGAGCGACAGACUGGGGUUGACACCAAAGAAGAGGGGCGGUGUCCCGGUGGCUGCUUGGAGGACUUCCUCGAAAGCACCGCUGGGGAGACUCUUCUCGGGGCGGAGCCUGACGGGUUGUUGAGCUUGAUCGAUGACCUGCACAGUCAGAUGUGUGCCCCUCCGUCCUCCAGGGAUGCCUCCAGCACGGAAUCAGAGGAGGAACAUGAGCUGGACCUCACCGUGGAGGGAGUGAGGUGUAACGAGAACUCUACACUGGGUCCACUGGUUCCUCCGCCCCCUUCUAGUGUGUUUUCCACAGACUUUCUGGACAACUUUGACCUGCAGACCUUGAUGGUCUGAAACCCUCCAUGACUGCUCCGCUGCAUGAUCAGAGCGCGCCACCUGUGUCUUCUCACACCCUGAAAUAUUCAACCCUUGAGCACUUUUAUAUAUUUUAUUUACAUGCCAUUAUAUCGAUUUUCUGUGGGGAAACCUGUUAGGCGGGUCCUACGUCUGCCCCUGCUCCUUCAGAAAACCUCCAUGAGAAAACACCAGGGUCCUUCGGGGGCCGGGCUCAACGAAACACUUUUAUCGGCUCAUUAUAGGUACAUUGAUCUUAUCUUUGCGAUGGAAACCACGACAGAGGCGAGAAAAGUAUCGACUUGUUUGACCCUGUCCUAAUUGCGGUGUAAAUCCUCGGACGCCUUGUGUUGCAAACAUAAUCAAUAUUUUAUUACUGCAGAAGGUCAAAGAUAGCCACAUUUUAAGCAUAAACGCAAAGUUAACGUCUUUGACAUGGUUUACACAGUGCACAGAAAGGUUCCGAAUGUUCUAGAUGUGGUGGCAUUAAUACUAGCAUGAUAGCUAAUGCUAAACUAGCCCGUUCCAUCCCGCGACUGUUUUUUAAAAAAACGUAUUUAUAAAGUUGGAAAGAAAUGAUUGAUUGACAUAAGCAUGUCAAACUGAAGAGAAAUCAGUGGUCAUAACUCUUUCAGAUGAACGGUUAUUACAUCUUACAUCAUAUUACAUCUUAUUAGGUUGCAGACCAAAGAAUCGAUACACAAGUUAGCGAACAACAAAGUGUUGCUCAGUGGAAACUAUGGCAGAUGCAUUUUAAAGUUAAUAGAAUAAACACGGGAUGAUAAAUUACAGUUUAAAAGCUGUCUUAGGAAAACUGUCACGAUGAAGACUGCUUCUAAACCUGCUCUUGUUGCUCUAAAGAAUAAAUUCACAUGUUAUUUUUGUUGACAAGAAAUUAAAGCAAGUUUGCUCACACCCAA